rnacentral:rRNA from 1 species
CCUACGGGAGGCAGCAGUGGGGAAUAUUGCACAAUGGGCGAAAGCCUGAUGCAGCAACGCCGCGUGAGUGAUGACGGUCUUCGGAUUGUAAAACUCUGUCUUCAGGGACGAUAAUGACGGUACCUGAGGAGGAAGCCACGGCUAACUACGUGCCAGCAGCCGCGGUAAU